GAUGCCCUGCAGAUGCCAAGCUGGGUACCGCAGACACUGCUGCCCAGCUGCAUCACUGACAGCAAGGCAUAGAGAAAGUGGCUAUUUCUACGCUCAGUGCUCAGACCUGUGGGUGCUAAGAAUGGUUUGUAGCCUUACAGUC